GCACCUUUGGUAGCCAGAAAAAAGAAUGAGUGACGACCACACCCAGAGCACUGCCCCCUGACCUGCGGGGCUUCUGAGGAGAGCCAGGUCUGAGCCCCGCCUCCUCUGAGCCCCGCCUCCUCAGGGGGACUCAGAGCCCCGCCUCCUCAGGGGACUCAGAAGCUGGAAACACUGGAAACCUACUAGACUGGGAAAUCACAAAAGGGACCUGGAAGAAAACAGGACUGGGGACAGGAUAACAGAGCUGGGAGGCCACCAGCUUGGGUGGAGUGACACCUGUAAAUAGGGAGUCCCGUGUGUCAAGGGAGCAGGAGAGAAACAACAAAAGUCCAAACAGCCACACCAGUGCAAGGCACCUUGUAACAAAGAACUUCCACGAGGCUGGAGAGUUGGAAGGUUAAAGGUUCCAAGCCAAAUUAUCUUGAGCUGAGCUGGUGAGCUGGCUCCGUGAGGGUAAAGACACAAGACCCCCAAGUUGUCUUCUGACUUCUGUAUGGAGUGGAAUUCACAUACAAUACAUAAUUACUUUAAACUAUCCUGGACUAAUUUAGCUUUUUUUAAAAAAAAUAUUUAUUUCAUUUAUUAUAUACACUGUAGCUGUGUUCAGACACACACUAGAAGACGGCAUCUGAUCCCAUUACAGAUGGUUGUGAGCCACCAUGUGGUUGCUGGGAAUUGAACUCAGGACCUCUGGAAGAGCAGUCAGUGCCCUUAACUGCUGAGCCAUCUCUCCAGCUCUCCAGCCCCUUAGCUUUUUUUUUUUUUUUUUUUUUUUUGAGACAGGGUCUCUCUCUAUGUAGCCCUGGCUAUGCUGAAACCCAUUAGUAGUCCAGGCUAGCCUUUACAGAAAUCUGCCUGCCUCAGUCUCUGCCUCUGGGGCAAUGAAAUCAAUAGUGUGUACCACCUGCUUAGCUUAUCUUUUUAGAUUUUUUUUAAAAGAUUUUAUUUAUUUAUUUAUUUAUUUAUUUAUUUAUUUAUUUAUUCAUUUAUUUAUAGGUAGAUAGAUAGGGUUUCUCUAGAUGUCCUGGAAACCCUCUUUGUAGAUCAGGCUGCCCUUGACUCCCACAUGCUAGAAUUAAAGGUGUGUGCCACACAGCUCAGUUGAGUUUUAAAAAUCUUUAAAAAGCUGGCAGUAUUGUCUCACACCUUUAGUCCUAAUACUAGGGAGGAAGAGGUAGGCAGAUCUCUGCAUUUAAGGCCAGCCUGGCCUAUAGAACAAGAGCUAAACAGAGAAGUCUGUGGACAAAGUCCACAGCAAGGAAAGCUUGCUUCCUUUCUGGGAGUUUUUUUUAGCAGUGCUUGGCUCUUACCCACGAGGUAAGUUCCAGACAGGGGCUGUUUAAAAAGUUUCCAUGUGAACCCCACUCAACUGUUAGCCUUAGAUAGCCAUUUAGCCCUCCUGUGCCUCAGUUUCCCCACCUAUGCUACUCUCAUCAAUUCCUUGGGGUAGUUCUCUCUCUCUCUCUCUCUCUCUCUCUCUCUCUCUCUCUCUCUCUCUCUCUCUGUGUGUGUGUGUGUGUGUGUGUGUGUGUGUGUGUUUGGUUUUUUUGUUUUUUUCUUUCUUUUGACACAAGGGUCUCAUGUAGCCCAGGCUAGCCAGGCUAGCCUCAAACCUGCUAUGUAGCUAGGAUAAUGUUGAACUCUUUAGCCUCCUGCCUUGGCCUCUCAGGGCUCAGAUGACUGACAGGUGAGUACCACCACGGUCAGCCUUAUUCAUACCUUUCCCUGAUAAACUCCUAAAGCAGAUUUACCUGUUUUCAAAAAAAAAACAAGAAGCCAAGUGUGGAGGGCUCCUGUUUACCAUCCCUGCCUGUCUGAGGCAGGAGGAUAUGCUCUUAGUUCAAAGUUGCUCUGAACUACAUACAUAGUGAGUUCCAGGCCAGCCUGAGUCAUCAAAUGAGACCUGUAUAAAAAGAAAAAAGAAAAAGAAAACCAGAAUGGAAGCAGUUUAGAAUCAGAAAACAAGUGGGCUGGAGAGAUAGCUCAGCCGUUAACAGCACUGACUGCUCUUCCAGAGGUCCUGAGUUCAAUUCCCUGAGCCCACAUGGUGGCUCACAACCAUCUGUAACGGAAUCCAAUGCCCUCUGGUGUGUCUGAGAACAGCUACAGUGUGCUCGCAGACAUAAAAUAAAUAAAUCUUUAAAAAAAGAAGAAGAAUCAGAAAACAAGCCGGGUGGUGAUAGUACAUGCCUUUAAUCUCAGCACUCAGGAGGCAUGCAGGAACUCUGUGAAUUUGGGGCCAGCCUGGUAUCCAGGGCCAGUUUCAGAGUAGCAGGGGCUACACAAAGAAACUGUGCCUUGAAAACCCAAAAUAACAACAACAACAACAACAACAACAACAACAAUAAUAAAAUAAAUAAGAGGAUGAUGUUACAAUAAAGGGAAGUCACUGAGAUGCGCAUACAGCACUCACUGUUCAGCACCGGGCUUCCUGGAAGCCAAUGGGAAAAGGGAAACAGGAUUGAUUACACAACUCAUGAUCUGGCAAAGAAAACUUAAGAUGAGUGUUUGCUAGACGCAAAGUAAUCAGAGGACGCUAAGCAAUCACACAUGGUCUGCAACAUCCAGAGAGGCCCUGCCCUGCAUGUGUGUGUUUCUUAUUCUAACCCCACAGGAAAGGAAAUGAACUUUUGUGGGGUUUGGCACUAGAUAGAUAUUUACACAGCAGACUUGAAUUACUGCUAGUGGUCAUGUUAAGCCAGUGCUCUUACUAACACUCAGGUUCAGAGCGGGGAGGACAAGGCGGUGGUUGGCGUUGUGAAACCAAAGUCCUGAAAUGCCACUUCCCUACAAUAGCACGUGGUACAGGGCUUUGGCUCUGACCAGACACUGGAAAUAGCCUGGAGGGAAAGGGGGAUAUUGUCAUCUGAGGGUCCUGUAUGCAAGAGGGGAGUGGUCCUGAGAAGCCAGCUGGACCCACUUCAGUUUACACAUCCUAGAGAUCCCACAGCCAGGUCAAACCCUAGGUGUUUGUCUCUGCUUGGGUUCAGAACUCUCAGGGGAUCCUUUCUUAACCCCAAGCCUCUGGUUCCAGGAGCUCCCAGACUGCUGGUGCUAGCUGAGCUAGGCUGGGCCUCCCUUGAAUGGUGAGCCAGGGCAUCACCCUGUGGGAAAAAUCAACCUGAUGUGAGCAGCUGAGGCUCCCAGAAAGCCUUUCCUCAGAGUCCAAGAGAUUAGCUUGGGGAUGGAUGCAGAAAGCCUGCCUGGGUCCAGUCUAGCCAAUCUGUAAAGGCAAUAAGGUACCGGAGGUCAGGCACCGGUACGGCUGCCUUUCAACAGUGGUAGUGGUGGGGGACAGACCUCAGUUAGUAGAGGACCCUGUAGUCUUAGGACUUAGAGGCAGGAAUAUCAGAAGUUCAAGGCCAUUCUCAACCAUAUGAGUUUGAGGCCAGCUUGGAAUAAAUGAGCCCCUGACCAAAAAAAAAAAAAAGUGUGUGGGGGGUGGGGGGGCUGGAGAGAUGGCUCAGUGAUUCAGAACACUGACUCCUCUUCCAGAGGUCCUGAGUUCAAUUCCCAGCAACCACAUGGUGGCUUACAAUCAACUGUAAUGAGAUCUGAUGCCCAUUUCUGGUGUGUGAAGACAGCGAUGUGUAUUCAUAUACAUAAAAUAAAUCUUUUUUUUUCUUUUUUUCUUUUUUUUAGAGCUGAGGACCGAACCCAGGGCCUUGUGCUUGCUAGGCAAGCGCUCUACCACUGAGCUAAAUCCCCAACCAAAAUAAAUCUUUUUUAAAAAGGCUUUUUUCUGUGUCUGUCAAUAUGUUUCAUUUAAAAUACUUACAACUCCCUCCCGCCCUACACACGGAUAAAUGUUAACUUAUUUUAAAAAUAUUUUUCUUAUCUCUGUAUGAUCAGUGGUGAAGCAGAAGUAUAGGCAGACAGAAAGAAAAACGAAAUGGGCAGAGAUGAGAGAUAGAAAAAGAACACGGGUUAGGGAAAAAGACUACUCAGAAAAUCGUAACACACUUGCAGAGAAGGAGGCAACAAUUAUGGGUGGUCCAAGAACGCAGGCUGCUUUCCACAGCGCUCCACCGCCAUCUUGUGGUCAACUGUGGUACUUCAACCUCUCUACUCGGCGCCCCCAGGCUCUACAAGCUUUGACUUGGGGAACUCGCACGUUACAUCCUGCAUGGACCUGGCAAUCUUGAGAGGGGCUCUCCAUCUGCUCAGUCAACCAGGAGGACAGUAACCAAGAACUGGUUAGGAAAGAAGUGAAAUAAGGUACCUGAGGUCAGGUACCUUCUUUCUCUUUUAUCUUGAUUCUUUUGUGAGACAGGGUUUCACUACUUAGCCCUGGCUGUCCUGGAAUUUGCUUUGUAAAUCAGACAGGCCUUAAACUCCAGAGAUCUGCCUGCCUCUGCCUCCUGAGUGUUGUCAUUAAAGGUGUGCGCCACCUUGAAUUCCUGAUUCUCUCUACCUCCUGAGUUCUAGGAUUACUGGUGGGAGCCACCCUCCUCCUCCUCCUCCCCCUCUCCCCUCCCCCUCUCCCUUGCUCCUCUCCUCCUCCUCCUUCCCUUCCUCUUCCUCCUCCUCCUCCCUCUUCCUACUUCCUCCUCCCCCCUCUUCCUUCCUCCUUUUUCAAACACAAUCUCAAGUAUCCUAUGGCUACAGCUUUGGUGAUAGCGUCAGGAUGGGACUUGGGGCCCCGAGUCACACCCCUGGCUUGUCCUUUCAACUCUUACUUUAUAAUCAUUUCUGAUUAUUUAAUGCUUUCUUUCAGUUACAGGGGAAUUUCUAUCAUUUAAAAAAAAUUUUUUUGAGGGUGGCCCAGAUUGGCCUUGAACUCACUGUAUCACUGAGGCUGGUCUUGAACUAACAAUUCUGCCUUCACCUCUCAAAUGCUACAGUCAUAGAUGAGUACUACGCCUGGUUUCCUCCAUUCCAGGAAAAGACUUCUCACUCCAUGAGAAGCCCUGGGACCGAACGAUCUAAGGUGGGCUUCCCAGAACAGAGGUUCUCAACCUGUGGCUUGAAACCCUUUGAGGGCAGGGGGCCGUCAAACGACCUUUUCACAGGUGUCACCUAAGAUUUUUGGAAGACAUAUUUAUAUUACGAUUUUUAACAGUAGCAAAGUUACAGUUUUGAAGUAGCAAAUGAAAGCAGUUUUAUGGUUGGGGGUCACCGCAACAGGAGGAUUUUUCUUUUCUUUUUCUUUUUUUUUCGGAGCUGGGGACCGAACCCAGGGCCUUGCGCUUGCUAGGCAAGUGCUUUACCACUGAGCUAAAUCCCCAACCCCUUUUCCUUUUCUUUUUAGUGUUUGUUUGUUUGUUUGUUUAGCGAACGUCUUGAUACUCGUCUGCCUGCCUGGCCUGGAAUUCGUGACACGUAGAACAUGCUGCUCUUGAAUUCACAGCAAGUCCUCCUGGGAUUACAGGCGUGUUCUAUCAUGCCUGGCUCCAGUGAGUAAUUUUUUAAAAAAUGUUUUAAACACUGGUCUUACUGUGAACUCCCUACUCUCUCCUCUCAGACACUGCACAGGGCAAGGUCAACUCUGGAUGGGCAUGGAAGGCCUAGGGGUGGCCCAGCUGUGUCUGAGCUGAGGUUGGGACGGACAGGAAGCCAGCAAGGUGAGAAGAUGGGGAUCCUGAGCCUCGGGCUGGGCUGUACCUUGGAGACACUCUGGUUCUGUCCUAGGGGUCACAGUGAGGCUGGGGUAGACAGCGUUAGACAUUUAUUUAAAAGAACUCCCAAGUGGCCCUUGUUUCCUGGUUCCACACUCCUUCCUGUAUUCUCCGGUAAAGCUGUCUGAUCGACUGCAUUUUCCUUUAACACAACCUCACUGUGGAAUCUCAGGGUGAAACAUGUUCAGUGAAGCUGAGGUAAAAGCCCAAGGCAGAAAAAGAGAGAUGUCUGGCCUAGCUCCUAAUCAAUGAUCUUCACGUGGAACCCAGGCUAGGCAUCCUUCUGGUCCAACCUGAGGUUGCUAGGCUUAGCUUGAGGGAAAAAUCUCAACGGAUCCCUGGACACUCAAUGUCUGCAGAGUCCCCUGCAGUCCCUUUCUUCAAGGCAAACACCGCUGCAGAGGGCUCUGAAUUCUUCAGAAUCUUUGUUUUUUAACAUUAAAUUACAUUUAUUCAUUUGUGUGGCUGUAGGUGCACGCUUGUCGCAAGGCAUGUGACGGUCAUCAGAGGAAAACCUGUUGGAGUCAGUCCUCUCCCUCCACCGUGAAGGUCCUGAGGACCAAACUCAGGUGGCGAGGUUUGGUGGCCAGGGCCUGUAACUGUUGAGUCAUCUCACUGAGUCCAGGUACUUUUUGAGGUUUAUUUAUUUUUUUUUUUUACUGUUAUUCGUGAAUCUCUGUGUGUGUGGUUGUGCAUGGGUGCCUAAGGAGGUCAGGAGAAAGUGUAAGGUGAUGUGGAGCUGGAGUCACCAGCAGCCGGGAGUGGCCCACAGUGCGUGCUGGGAACAGAACUCUGGCUGAGAACAAGAGCUCUUGGUUUCUCACCCAUCUCUCCAGUCCUGUUUCAUUCAUUUAUUGUAGGGGAGGUGAGUGCCUGGAGGUCAGAGAACAGCUUGCAACAAGGGGGGCCCUGGGUAUUGAACCUUUGUCGCCAGACUUGGCAGCAAGCACCUUUAGCUCACUGAGCCAUCUCACCGGGCCCCGUGCUCUUUUUAAAAUGAUGAUGAUGAUGAUGAUGAUGACGAUGACGAUGAUGAUGAUGAUGAUGACAUGGCCUCAUAAUAACCCAGGUUAUCCUUGAAUUCUUCCUGCACUUCCUGUGGUGGAGGUCGACCUUGAACUUCUGACCCUCCUUCAAUCAGUGCACUGCAGCUCUAGGACUACAGGGAUGCUCUACCAGGAAGUGUUUAUCUGGUGCUGGGGACUGAACCCAAGGCUCUAGGCAUGCCACACCUCUGGUCCUAUUCUUCAGACUCUUAGAAUUUUUGCCUUUCAUGGCCGAUCCUUAUUUCGAGGUAGGGUCUCAUUAAACAGACAUAUCAGGGACCCAAGCUGUCAGCUCAGCUCUCAGACUCUCUCAUCACUGGGUGUUACAGGUCUUGUCCAUCAACCUGGAAUAAAUGGCUUAUCGUAGCUUCGGGAGGUGGUGACGCUGCUCUUUGCUUGCAGGGCUGAGGGCUUGUUCAGACAAUCCUCCUGCCCUCAGUUCCAUGGUUCUGUCACAUCCCAUGCUGUCACCCCUGAAGUCCCAAGGCAAGUCGCUUUGUCUCCUCUGUAGACAACAGCCCUUUUCCUCUAUUGAACAUUGCAGAAUGUUGUACUCCCUGUUCCGGCCAGUUCCAAGAACUAAUUUGAAAGAACUGCCCAACCUGGUAAGUCACCCCGCCAUGGGCAGGGGCUGACGGAGCAGCCACCCAUGCUGUAGGUUCUGCAGAGUCCUUGAUGAGAUCCAGCAGCUCUGUUCCCUGAAGGCUCAAUGCCCUUGGGGCAUCACUGAAGGUAGAGCUCCCUUCAGUUAUCACUUAUCAGGAAGUCCAGGGGGAACUUCCCAGGGAAGAGCUGAGGGAAGGGCAUUCUAGGCAGAUGGCAGCCCCUGCAGAUCAGAACAAAGCCAGGCAAGAACCAGAGGUUCCCAAGGGGUAGGCAGCAGAGGUGACACUGAGAAGCCCAGAUUGGGGUUGGCAGAGUCAUGGAGGUCACUGUCCAGGACCUCCAUGUCCCAGAACGAAUGGGAACAGGACGAUGCCUCGAGGAAGGAGAGGCACAGAGGGGACAGGAGCCUGACAGUGGCUGAGUCUGGGGUGGCAUCUGAGAUGGUGGAAAGCGAGGAGGUGGCUGUGUCUGCCUCAGGGACUCUGAUUUGCAGGUAUUGUGUCCCCUCAACGACCCUGAUGGGUCUGCUUCCUAGUCUGGGUGCUAUGGCUGGGAAAGAAGGUGGAAGAGCUGGUGUUUCAUAGAUUCUGGGCAACCCUAAUUCCUGACACUCGGGACCUUGAUAGUCACAAGGACCCUGAGUCAAAGCUUCCAGGAGGUGACUGGCUUUUGUUUUGACAUUUUUAAUUUAUUGUGUCUGGACUUGUGUGUGUGCAUGCAUGUGUUGUGUGUGUGUGUGUGUGUGUGAGGACCACCUGCAGGAAUCAGUUCUCUCUCCACCCAAGUGGACUCUGAAGAUGAAGCUCAAACCGAUCACUAGUUUUGAUGGCCCGUGCCUUCGCCCUCUGACUCAUCUUGCUGGUCCCGACAGUCAUUUUCGAAAAGUGCGUGAGGACCGGAAGUCUGAAGCAAAACGGUGGAUGGCAGCUGUGGUUGCUGGCCAGAGCCUCCACGUGGCUUUAGAGUCACUCUGCUGAGGCCCUGACGGACGGGGUUAUGGGAAUCCUAUGAACUUUUCCUUCUACAAACCACGUGUAAACAGCGAUCAUCGGUGUUGGCAGAGCUGCUGCCAAAGAGGGAGGUGCUUUCCCCCUCCCUCCAGCAUCCCUGGCAAUGCAGAAAGUGAGCAAUAUGUAAGCAGCUGUCAGGGUUUCCUCCACAGAGGGGCCCGGUUCACGGGUGGGAGUGGCACUGGGAGGCCAAGGUGUUCUGAAUGCACAUCCUCUUCCGCCUGCUGGUCCUCCUUCUGGGGGAGGGUGCAGCUCUACGCCUACAGCUUCAUCCUGUCAGUGGGGGUCUGGGCAGCUACAGAAUGCUGAGGAGCUCCAGGGCUGAGGGCUGGGACCAGGAAGCUACUGAUGGCCGCCAAGUCUCUGUUGCACCAAGUUAUUGUGACCUGGCUGUUCAUUUUCCUCAGAGAUUCCAGAACCCUGAGGAUAUAUAUGUCAGUCAGCCUGUCGGAGCAACUCUCAGAAAGCAAGCAAGGAAGGAGGAGCCUCACGGUGCCUGGAGGCCAGAGGUCUAGAAAUUUCACGACAACCGUAGAACCAGCUGCUCUUAUUAAAACAUUGACUUUUCCCAGAACCAAGGGCGUGAAAGCCAAGCCCAACAAGGGCGGCACCCAGCAAAAUCCGUAGGCCUCCGUAGGUGGGUCCCAGGAGGAAAGUGGCUGUCACCUGCCUAAUUAGCAAGGUUAAAGAGAGGAAGGGCGGGGCCAAGGCUUUGUUGCGGGGAGGGAGUGGGGGAGAAUGUCUGGCUAGAGUGGGAGCUACCCGCCUAGGCUGGCUUCCCGAAAGUUCGGCCACGCCCUUACCUUGCCGCCUCCCGGCUGGUGCUUCAGGUUCUCAGUGGAGCCAAUCUUGGACCUGACGUUCUUUAGGUCUGGCAUGGGCACAGGGGCAGUCUGUAGGCGGCUCUUACUGGCAGACGGUGACUUAGGGGGAGUGCGAACCACUGCCACCUUUUUGGGCUCUCGGGUGGGCGGCGUUGGUAGGGAUGGGGUACGGGAGCGACUGCCAGGGGUUCCGGGCGAGCCGGGGCUGCUGUAGCCGCUUCGUUCUCCGGAUUUUGGUGGUUCACCUGGAAGAUGAGGAGAGAGGAAGGGACUGAGGCCACGUGGGCGCAAGGGGUGGGGUGUCUGCAAAAUCCCUGAGGCCACUGGACCGGGCGCCCAUUGCCCGGAUCCAAAGGGGCAUCUGGGAGAAGAUCAUGAAGACCAUUUGUAGAGAAGCAUCGCUCCUGCUCUGUCACUUAGAUACAGUGUCAGCUAUUUCUCAAUAAAGCAACCGAAUUCUCA